UGCCAACAUGUCAAGAUCCUUCUCUCAUCUAAUUUUUCUCUCAUCCUUGUCACUUAAGCUUUGACUAUCCUAUCUCCACCACUUCUCAUAAGCUUUCUCUCACAUCUUUCUUACUCGUCUCCAUUUAUCUUCUCUAUCUCCAUUUCUCUUCAUCACUAAAAAUCUAAACUCACUACGUGGAAUUUUAUUUAUCUUUUCAGUUCAAUGAGAUGAAGAUGUCUCAAUAUAAUAGUCGAAGGCUAUCACAAAAUGGUAUUCCUCUAUGUAGAUGUGACGAAGAAGCGAAAAUUAUGACUUCAUGGACAAAUUCACAUCCCGGAAGGAGGUUCUAUGGAUGCAAGAACUAUGGGAUAAGUAAUUAUUGUGAUUUCUUCGAUUGGAUGGAUCCAGAGUUUCCAAAACAAGCUAAUGUUGUGAUUUUGGGCCUCUUGAACCGAAUUAAAAGAAUGGAGCUUAAUAAAAAAGCAUAAAGAAAGAAGAUGGAGAGAGGCUGUUGUAGGUGGAAAUGAAUUCUGACUUGUGUGCUCUAUUUGUUUUGGAUAAGUGUGUGUUUUGUGGGAAUGAUAAAUCUGAUAGUUUGGUUAUGGGAUGAGAUUAGGAUUGUGUUUUCUUUUUUUGUUUGAUUUUACUUGCAAUUAGUGUUCUUGAACGUUUGAACGUGUAUUAGUACCAUUCUUAAACUUAGGAAUAUAUAUCAAUAUCUUCUCUAAACUUAUGUUUUAUUGUAAUGCAUUUUGGUUAUUAUGAAUGAAUUGUAAAACUUUUAGCAAUCAAUGGAAAUCAGUAUAUCUUAAAUAUGGCCAUGCCAUUUUGUAUUUUCAUUCCAUGCAAAACGACCCCGCAGCGGAGUCCACACGACAAUAACAAGGGCUUCAACUCCGGCAGCGAGUGCUGGUAAAGCUUUCACACAAAACCGAAGUCUCAAAAUUUUGUUUGGCUGCUGUGAAAGUGAGGGAAAGCGAGUGAAAAUGAGCGGAACCAUAAAGAAGGUGACAGUUGUGGCAUUUAAUGCAUCAAAGACUAUUGAUUGGAAUGGGAUGGCGAAACUUCUAGUCUCCGACGAAGCUCGCAAGGUCGCCUCCCUUCGUCGUGCUUUCGAUGAUGUUAAUUCCAUUCUUCAGACAAAAUUCAGCCAGGAACCUGAACCUGUUGACUGGAAUAUUAUAGGAAAACAGUUGGCUCACGCUUAGUGGAUAUGUGUAAAGAGGCUAUGACAUUAAGUAUUCUUUUUGUUGGCAAAUGUUCCACUCAUAUGUUCUAGUUUUGAUUCAUGAUA